rnacentral:lncRNA from 1 species
UUUUGAAAACAUUAAUAAUUGGUGAAUUGGUACUAGAAGACAAAAUAUCUUUUGAGAUAUUUUAUAUUAUCACCUAAUAUUAUAUAAUUUAGUUAUAUAUAUAUUAGAUAUAUGUUGUGUGGUGGAUAAUGAAGAGAGGAUUUAUAUCGAUAGGAAAGAGGAAAGAUAAGAGCAAGAUAAAAAUAGAGAUAUCGGUAGAAAAACAAAAGAAAAGAAGGAAGAAAAGAGAAGAGAAGAGAAAG